GACGAACGCUGGCGGCGUGCUUAACACAUGCAAGUCGAACGAUGAAGCCUUUCGGGGUGGAUUAGUGGCGAACGGGUGAGUAACACGUGGGCAAUCUGCCCUUCACUCUGGGACAAGCCCUGGAAACGGGGUCUAAUACCGGAUAACACUCUUCCCUGCAUGGGGAGGGUAAAGCGUACCGCGUGAGGAUGAGCCGCGGCCUAUCAGCUUGUCGGUGGGGUAAUGGCCUACCAAGGCGACGACGGGUAGCCGGCCUGAGAGGGCGACCGGCCACA
rnacentral:rRNA from 1 species